rnacentral:rRNA from 1 species
AAUAGCCUAACGGCUGAACCAGCAACUUGGAGGAAUAGAUUGCGAAAGCUAACUGCAUACCUUUAUGCAGGAUCAACUUCGUUGAAUAAAAUUCUGGGCAAUCGUUAUCAUGAAACGGUUUACCCAUGUGUCUUGACCAAAUUGCGUGCCAGCAGUCGCGGUAAUACGUAGAAGACUAGUGUUAUUCAUCUUUAAUAGGUUUAAAGAGUACCUAGACGGUAAAUCGAGCCCUAGCCGGGACUAAUUUGCUAGAGUUACUUAUGAGGGGGCUUUAAAGUACUAAUGGUGUAGAGAUAAAAUUUUGUAAUACCAUUUUUCGAAAGAAAAUUUAUGGCACUGGUAAAGGUGAAGGCAUCCCCCUAUGUGAUAACUGACGUUGAAGGACGAAGGCUUUGGGUCGCGAAUAGGAUUAGAUACCCUAGUAGUCAAAGCAGAAAAUUAUGAGUGUCAUAGAUUAGACGACCAGGUUUACUCUAUAAAUGAAAGUGUAAGCACUCCACCUCAAGAGUAAUAUGGCAACAUCGGAACUGAAAUCAUUAGACCGUUUCUGAA